AACGAACGCUGGCGGCAUGCCUAACACAUGCAAGUCGAACGAGACCUUCGGGUCUAGUGGCGCACGGGUGCGUAACGCGUGGGAACCUGCACUUAGGUUCGGAAUAACUCCCCGAGAGGGGUGCUAAUACCGGAUAAUGUCUUCGGACCAACGAUUUAUCGCCGUUGGAUGGGCCCGCGUUAGAUUAGCUGGUUGGUAGGGUAAAAGCCUACCAUGGCGACGAUCCAUAGCUGGUCUGAGAGGAUGACCAGCCACACUGGGACUGAGACACGGCCCAGACUCGUACGGGAGGCAGCAGUGGGGAAUAUUGGACAAUGGGCGAAAGUCUGAUACAGCAACGCCGCGUGAGUGAUGAAGGCCUUAGGGUUGUAAAGCUCUUUUACCCGGGAUGAUAAUGACAGUACCGGGAGAAUAAGCUCCGGCUAACUCCGUG
rnacentral:rRNA from 1 species